GUCCUUACCGGGCAGGGGAGACGCCACGGUCUGGAGGCUGGUUUUCCCAGGCCGAGGCGGAUCCAUCGCACUCCGCAAUUGCCGACCCCGCAGUUUGGAACCCCCCCAAGUGUUGGAAACUCGGCUGCAGAACUUGUGGCAGUGGGGGGACUCGUUCACGCUCUCCCCUG